GGAUGAGCCCGCGGCCUAUCAGCUUGUUGGUGAGGUAGUGGCUCACCAAGGCGACGACGGGUAGCCGGCCUGAGAGGGCGACCGGCCACACUGGGACUGAGACACGGCCCAGACUCCUACGGGAGGCAGCAGUGGGGAAUAUUGCACAAUGGGCGAAAGCCUGAUGCAGCGACGCCGCGUGAGGGAUGACGGCCUUCGGGUUGUAAACCUCUUUCAGCAGGGAAGAAGCAAAAGUGACGGUACCUGCAGAAGAAGCGCCGGCUAACUACGUGCCAGCAGCCGCGGUAAUACGUAGGGCGCAAGCGUUGUCCGGAAUUAUUGGGCGUAAAGAGCUCGUAGGCGGCUUGUCACGUCGGUUGUGAAAGCCCGGGGCUUAACCCCGGGUCUGCAGUCGAUACGGGCAGGCUAGAGUUCGGUAGGGGAGAUCGGAAUUCCUGGUGUAGCGGUGAAAUGCGCAGAUAUCAGGAGGAACACCGGUGGCGAAGGCGGAUCUCUGGGCCGAUACUGACGCUGAGGAGCGAAAGCGUGGGGGGCGAACAGGAUUAGAUACCCUGGUAGUCCACGCCGUAAACGGUGGGCACUAGGUGUGGGCAACAUUCCACGUUGUCCGUGCCGCAGCUAACGCAUUAAGUGCCCCGC
rnacentral:rRNA from 1 species